AGGAUAGUGGCCUACCAUGGUGGU
rnacentral:siRNA from 1 species